GUAACUGUUGCCCGGGGGCCCGACGAUAGAGGAUGAGGAGCAACACAGACCAUCCAAAGGGGAACCUUGUAACCAUAGCGACCAACGGCAAUCUUUGACACAUCAACAGGUUGGGGAAUUAGUCCUUCAGUUGUGGCUGUUUUUUUUUUUUUUUAUCAGAGCUUUAAAAUGGAUCCCUAUUCCCUAUGUAGUGCACUUCUUUUGACAGGGGUCCAUAGGGUCGUAGUGCACUUCUUUUGACAGGGGUCCAUAGGGUCGUAGUGCACUUCUUUUGACAGGGGUCCAUAGGGUCGUAGUGCACUGCAUAGGGAAUAGGGUGCUAUUGCAGGAUACACUCAGAAAGACCGGGCCCUUGGUCAUCAGUAGAGUUAUAGCCAUCCUUAUCCCAGCCAGAACGGCCCGUAGUCCAAAGUAGUGCACUAUCAAGGGAACGGGAGCCAUUUUGGAACGCCAUUGUUGUGCUGUAUCAGAUGUGACUGUAGUCCAGUCCAGUCCGUGUAGAAUUCACCUAAUGCAUCGGGAUCAAGCCCCUUGUUGCUGUUUCUAAGGUUACGGCGGCGUCCCAAAUGACAUCAUAUCCCCUAUACAGGGUACGCAUACCUAUCCAAUACUUGUGAUGGAAAUUCCACCGGGAGGUCAAUCCCAUCCCAUCAGACACCACGGUUUUGGGUCCGGGUCUGUACAGAUUAGGAUUUAAAUGUGUCCAUAGUCAGUUAGUUAGUCCCGUUCUCUCUAUAUACCCCCCCAGUCAUGUAUUUUAAGAUAUAGACCCAGAUAAAACUCAUUCAGUCUGUCUCUAGUUGUUAAGAUAUAGACCCAGAUAAAACUCAUUCAGUCUAUAGACCCAGAUAAAACUCAUUCAGUCGGUCUCUAGUUAAGAUAUGGGCCCAGAUAAAUCUAAUUCAGUCUGUCUCUAGUUGUUAAGAUAUGGGCCCAGAGGUCGACUGAUGUUUAGCACAGCUCUCUUUGAGAGACUUUUUAAAAUCCAUUUUUAGGUUAAAAGCUAAACUGACCUAAAUUCAGUGUCUUGGGGUGUCUUCAGUGGACGCUAACCCUGGUCUAGAAGGGCUGCUGUGUGUGUGUGUGUGUGUGAGCAGGUUUUUAACACACAUCAUUCAGCUAACCAAAGUCUUGAUGAUUGUGAUUAAACAUAAAAGCAGGUGUGUUAGUGCUGGACUGGAACAGGGGACCAGGGUUGGCCAGCCUGGUCCUACAUGGUCUGAACAUAAGCACAUGUGAUGUGAGAUUCUUCUUCCCCAGGAGCUUUUCAUUGAUCAUCGGGAGGCUAUGAUAGAAUCAGAACUCUCGUUCUAUGGAGAGAAUUAGAAUUCUGUUGGUGAGAGUUCCGUUCACUCCAUUCUGGAAGCCUCUGCUGCUACACAACCCGGUUGUGUUCUGUUCUGUCACACUUCUCUCUCUUGUCUGCGAGGAAGAUUAUACUGUUCAUUCAAAUAUUCUCUAUUGAAUUUAAAAAAGGCAAUAUUUUAACUUGAUCAAUUACCGGAGAUGAUAUGAUGUAGAAAUUAAUAAAAGUAUUUAAAAAUGUAAAAGACAAUUGCAUGUCUGUUUUGUGUGCGUUUCCAUUGUAAAUGAAUGUCUUAUCUUUAAAAAAUAUAUUAAUUCCACUACUGUUUAGAUAAUACAUUAGCUUCCAUGCCAUGCUGUUGACUUCAAGCAAAGAUAUCAGGCAGGAUAAGGUGGUUGUGGAGGCGUUUAGCCCGAUGUUAAGGAGGGAGGGGGGUGUUUAAUCCUCUCUCUCACUGUGUUGGGUGGGAAGAGAACAACAGAUGAACAGAGAGAGAGAUUUUAAUGAUUUUCCGACCUGCAAUAUUUGAUAAUGUACAGUAGUCUACUGUAGUGUAUAUCUGUUUCUCUGAUUUUAAGGCUGCACGUCCUAAAUUACACCCUAUUCCCUAUGGAUCCUGGUCAGAAUCAGUGCGCUACAUAGGGAUUAGCGUGCUGUUUGGGGGAAACGGAAUGAAGACACCACUUUAGACACGGCUGCCGUCACAGACUGUCAACCAAGGUGGCUGUGAUGUCAUCUCAGUCCUGUGUAGUCUACACACAUCAGGGGAACGUUUUAAUAGUUAACAGAGUAUUAAUCCCAGAUUUAACCACUAGCCAUGUGGCUCACAUAGUGUGCCUCCCUAAAUGGGCCCCUAUUCCCUAUGUAGUACACUGGACCCUGGUCAAAAGCAGUGCACUACAGGGAUUAGGGGGGCAUAUGGCUCCCGUACAGUAGACUACUGUACAACUGGACAUUUGUAGGAUUAUCUCUGUGUUAAUAUAUAUAUAUAUAUAUAUAUAUAUUAUCAAUAUUUAUCUACACUGAACAUGUCAAUGCAAAUGUAAAAUGCAAUAAAAUAAAAAUUCCCAGAUAUUUUC